UUCAUGCGCUGACCCACACAUUUUAUUCCAGCACUCGUGAGGAAGAGAGACAGGUUGAUCUGCAAUGAGUUGCAAGGCCAGCCUGAGCCAUGUAUUGAGUUCUAGACCAUCCAGGGAUAUAAAGUGAGACCUGGCCCAGAAGCAGGGGUUGCUAUCAGACAAUUAUUAAAAUAGUAGACUCCUAGGAAUCCAUGCUGGAGGAAGAAAAAAGAUAAAUCUCCUAUACCAUCCAGAAGAGGAAUUUGCAGCCCCAGGAAGAUUUCACACAGUUCUGACGACUUGAGGCCAGCUUCCAGGAGCCUCAACUUAAACCUAAAGUUCCCAUCAGGACAAAGACAGACUUGAGGUGUUUUCCCACAUCGAUCAUCUGACGACAGGACCUUUCAUCCAUUUGCUGGUUCCGAGACUUGUCUCUUAGAUGAAGAGUCGUGCAACUUCCCAAGAUCAAUGGUGCCUUCGAAAUGAGAAAUCUAAAGAAACAAUCUGUUCUAAAUCCAAUCAGUAACAUAAUGUACAGCCAAAGCUUCUGGUAAGGGAGUCAUGAGGUGCCACUCAGAGAACUGGUUAAUGUAGAGACAAAGGCAGUAGCUGACAAGAAAUGGGGGAGAAAACUCAGCAUUUCGGCAAGCGUUUCUGCAAUGCUCCACACUGCCGCUAGAUGGCAAUAAAGUUGUAUCAUGCGAUUAUUCACUUAGCCAGCUAAAGUACUUUGAAGGAGUGUCACUGAAUAAAAGCUAAAGAAGUU